ACGGGUGUGUAAUGCUUAGGAAUCUGCCUAAUAGUGGGGGACAACAUCUCGAAUGGGAUGCUAAUACCGCAUACGUCCUACGGGAGAAAGCAGGGAUCUUCGGACCUUGCGCUAAUAGAUGAGCCUAAGUCGGAUUAGCUAGUUGGUGGGGUAAAGGCCUACCUAGGCGACGAUCUGUAGCGGUCUGCGAGGAUGAUCCGCCACACUGGGACUGAGACACGGCCCAGACUCCUACGGGAGGCACGAGUGGGGAAUAUUGGACAAUGGGGGGAACCCUGAUCCAGCCAUGCCGCGUGUGUGAAGAAGGCCUUAUGGUUGUAAAGCACUUUAAGCGAGGAGGAGGCUACUUUCGUUAAUACCUAGAGAUAGUGGACGUUACUCGCAGUAUAAGCACCGGCUAACUCUGUGCCAGCAGCCGCGGUAAUACAGAGGGUGCGAGCGUUAAUCGGAUUUACUGGGCGUAAAGCGUGCGUAGGCGGGUUAUUAAGUCGGAUGUGAAAUCCCCGAGCUUAACUUGGGAAUUGCAAUCGAACUGGUGAGCUAGAGUAUGGGAGAGGAUGGUAGAUUUCCAGGUGUAGCGGUGAAAUGCGUAGAGAUCUGGAGGAAUAACGAUGGCGAAGGCAGCCAU
rnacentral:rRNA from 1 species